rnacentral:rRNA from 1 species
UUCUUUAUGAUUUUAUAUAAAGUAAGCCCUGCCCAGUGAACUUUUAACGGCGGCCUUAGCGUGAGGGUCCAAAGGUAGCGUAGUAAUUUGGCCUUUAAUUGGGGUCUUGUAUGAAUGGGUUAACGUAAUAAUAGCUGUGUCACGUAGACAAAUAUAAAUUAAGUUUAAGGUGAAGAUGCCUUGAUUAUAAAGAAAGACGACAAGACCCUGUGAAGCUUAAUUUGUUUUAUAAUUUAAACAUUAUUUGAUAAAUUUGUUGGGGCAACAAAGUAAGGCUAUAUUACUUUUUAAAAUUUUACUUACAUGUUUUAUCUUAUUUAGUGAUGUUGAUUAGCUACUCCAGGGAUAACAGCGCAAUUUGCUUUUUAAGUUCUUAUUUUAAAGUAAGGUUGCGACCUCGAUGUUGGCUUUGGAAAUACUAUUAGGUGCAGCAGCUUAAAUUAGUAAGUCUGUUCGACUUUUAAAUUCCGACA